rfam:Triticum aestivum genome assembly, contig: Triticum_aestivum_CS42_TGACv1_scaffold_093589_2AL
UAUAUAGUCUCUCCCUCCGAAAAUACUUGUCGGAGAAAUCAAUAAAAAUGGAUGUAUCUAGAAUUAAAAUACGACUAGAUACAUCCAUUUCUUCGACAAGUAUUUUCAGCUGGAGUGAGUAUUAG